GAACGGGAAUCCUGGGUGUAGCAAUACAUUCGGGAGGAUAGUGGCGGAAGGGCGAGCAAUACGUAGGUAACCUACCCUGAAGAUGGGGAUAACCCGCCGAAAGGCGGGCUAAUACCGAAUCUGGUUGUCUGUCGCAUGGCAGACGUACUGAACGAUGGGGCUCCUUCGGGACCUGUCGCUUUAGGAGGGGCCUACGUGCCAUCAGCUAGUUGGUGGGGUAACGGCUCACCAAGGCUUACGGCUAGGUGGUCUGAGAGGAUGAUCACCCGCACUGGGACUGAGAUACUGCCCAGACUCCUACGGGAGGCUGCAGUCGAGGAUCUUUUGCAAUGGGCGCAAGCCUGACAAAGCGACGCUGCGUGGAGGAUGAAGGCCUUCGGGUUGUAAACUCCUGUCAUUCGGGAAUAAAGCUUUUCGGUGAAUAGCCGGGAAGUCUGACGGUACCGGAAGAGGAAGCCACGGCAAACUCUGUGCCAGCAGCCGCGGUAAUACAGAGGUGGCAAGCGUUGUUCGGAUUCACUGGGCGUAAAGGGCGCGUAGGCGGUUUUGUGUGUCGGACGUGAAAUCCCGUCGCUCAACGACGGAACUGCAUUCGAAACUACAAGACUAGAGUACAGGAUGGGAGAGCGGAAUUCUUGGUGUAGCGGUGAAAUGCGUUGAUAUCAAGAAGAACACCGGUGGCGAAGGCGGCUCUCUGGAAUGUUACUGACGCUGAGGCACGAAAGCUGGGGGAGCAAACAGGUUUAGAUACCCUGGUAGUCCCAGCCCUAAACGGUGUGAACUUGGUGUGGCGGUGUUGACCCCGCCGUGCCGGAGCUAACGCGUUAAGUUCACCGCCUGGGAAGUACGGUCGCAAGACUAAAACUCAAAGAAAUUGACGGGGGCCCGCACAAGCGGAGGAGCAUGUGGCUCAAUUCGAUCCACGCGAAGAACCUUACCAGGACUUGACAUGCUGGUGGUAGGAACCCGAAAGGGCAACGGCCCGCAAGGGAGCCAGCACAGGUGCUGCAUGGCUGUCGUCAGUUCGUGCCGUGAGGUGUUGGGUUAAGUCCCGCAACGAACGCAACCCCUGUGUCUAGUUGCCACCAGGCUUCGGCCUGAGCACUCUAGACAGACUGCCCUUAGCGGAGGAAGGUGGGGACGACGUCAAGUCAGUAUGGCCUUUAUGUCCUGGGCUGCACACGUGCUACAAUGGUCGGCGCAAUGGGAUGCAAGACCGCGAGGUGUAGCAAAUCCCCAAAACCGACCCCAGUUCAGAUUGCAGUCUGCAACUCGACUGCAUGAAGCCGGAUUCGCUAGUAAUGGCGCAUCAGCUACGGCGCCGUGAAUACGUUCCCGGGCCUUGUACACACCGCCCGUCACAUCAUGAAAGCCGUCUGCACCUGAAGCCGCUGAGCCAACCUGCAAAGGAGGCAAGUGUCCAAGGUGUGGGUGGUAAUUGGGAUGAAGUCGUAACAAGGUA
rnacentral:rRNA from 1 species